CCUACGGGUGGCAGCAGUGGGGGAUAUUGCACAAUGGGGGAAACCCUGAUGCAGCGACGCCGCGUGUGGGAAGACGGUCUUCUGGAUUGUAAACCACUGUCCCCAGGGACGAAAAUGACGGUACCUGGGGAGGAAGCUCCGGCUAACUACGUGCCAGCAGCCGCGGAAAUACGUAGGGAGCAAGCGUUGUCCGGAAUUACUGGGUGUAAAGGGAGCGUAGGCGGGGAUGCAAGUGGGGUGUCAAAACUACCGGCUCAACCGAUAGUCGCACUCAAAACUGCAGCUCUUGAGUGAGGUAGAGGCAGGCGGAAUUCCUAGUGUAGCGGUGAAAUGCGUAGAUAUUAGGAAGAACACCAGUGGCGAAGGCAGCCUGCUGGGCUUUUACUGACGCUGAGGCUCGAAAGUGUGGGGAGCAAACAGGAUUAGAUACCCGAGUAGUC
rnacentral:rRNA from 1 species